UACGGAGGGUGCAAGCGUUAUCCGGAUUCACUGGGUUUAAAGGGUGCGUAGGCGGAUUGGUAAGUCCGUGGUGAAAUCCCCGAGCUUAACUUGGGAACUGCCGUGGAUACUAUCAGUCUUGAAUAUCGUGGAGGUAAGCGGAAUAUGUCAUGUAGCGGUGAAAUGCUUAGAUAUGACAUAGAACACCAAUUGCGUAGGCAGCUUACUACUCGAUCAUUGACGCUGAGGCACGAAAGCGUGGGGAGCAAACGGG
rnacentral:rRNA from 1 species